AAACUUUUAACAACGGAUCUCUUGGCUCUGGCAUCGAUGAAGAACGCAGCGAAAUGCGAUAAGUAAUGUGAAUUGCAGAAUUCAGUGAAUCAUCGAAUCUUUGAACGCACAUUGCGCCCGUCAGUAUUCUGGCGGGCAUGCCUGUUCGAGCGUCAUU
rnacentral:rRNA from 4 species